rnacentral:rRNA from 1 species
UACGUAGGGUCCGAGCGUUGUCCGGAAUUACUGGGCGUAAAGCGCGUGUAGGCUGCCCUGCAAGUCGGAUGUGAAAGCCCUGGGCUCAACCUAGGAAGUGCACUCGAAACUGCAGGGCUGGAGUCCUGGAGAGGAAGGCGGAAUUCUCGGUGUAGAGGUGAAAUUCGUAGAUAUCGAGAGGAACACCGGUGGCGAAGGCGGCCUUCUGGACAGUGACUGACGCUGAGACGCGAAAGCGUGGGGAGCAAACAGG